rnacentral:rRNA from 1 species
UACGGGGGGGGCAAGCGUUGUUCGGAAUUACUGGGCGUAAAGGGCGCGUAGGCGGCCUGCUAAGUCAUACGUGAAAUCCCUCGGCUCAACCGGGGAACUGCGUGUGAUACUGGCGGGCUUGAAUCCGGGAGAGGAAUGCGGAAUUCCAGGUGUAGCGGUGAAAUGCGUAGAUAUCUGGAGGAACACCGGUGGCGAAGGCGGCAUUCUGGACCGGCAUUGACGCUGAGGCGCGAAAGCCAGGGGAGCAAACGGG